GCGGUGUCGGAGGGGAGCGCGGGGCCUGCUCCGUCCGUCCGUCCGUCCGUCCGUCCGUCUCCCGGGAAACGGAGCGCCGGGAAGCAGCAGCGAGAGAGAUGUAACCCAGGCCGACCCAAAAUAAUGGAAAACUCUGUCCAGUCCUGAGUGGUAGGGUGAUAAGCGGUAUCUUUUACUUCUUCAAAGUGUAUUUCUCUACCAGCAGAAGUUGAAUAACAGCAUUCUUCUACUGUUAUCCCUCACUCCGUUACACUGUAUUGAAAAGAUAUGAAUGAACAUCCUAAAAAACGGAAAAGGAAGACUUUGCACCCAUCUCGAUAUUCAG